rnacentral:rRNA from 1 species
UACGUAGGUGGCAAGCGUUGUCCGGAUUUACUGGGCGUAAAGAGCGCGCAGGCGGUCGUUCAAGUCGAGUGUGAAAGCCCCCGGCUCAACUGGGGAGGGUCACUCGAUACUGAUCGACUCGAAGGCAGAAGAGGGAAGCGGAAUUCCCGGUGUAGUGGUGAAAUGCGUAGAUAUCGGGAGGAACACCAGUGGCGAAGGCGGCUUUCUGGUCUGCUCUUGGACGCUGAGGCGCGAAAGCUAGGGGAGCAAACAGGG